rnacentral:rRNA from 1 species
GACGAACGCUGGCGGCGUGCUUAACACAUGCAAGUCGAACGGAAAGGCCCCCAUCUUGGUGGGGGUGCUCGAGUGGCGAACGGGUGAGUAACACGUGGGUGAUCUGCCCUGUACUUCGGGAUAAGCUUGGGAAACUGGGUCUAAUACCGGAUAGGACCAUGGUUUAGUGUCUCAUGGUGGAAAGAUUAUUGUUUUGGUGCAGGAUGAGCUCGCGGCCUAUCAGGUUGUUGGUGGGGUAAUGGCCUACCAAGGCGUCGACGGGUAGCCGGCCUGAGAGGGUGGACGGCCACAUUGGGACUGGGAUACGGCCCAGACUCCUACGGGAGGCAGCAGUGGGGAAUAUUGCACAAUGGGCGCAAGCCUGAUGCAGCGACGCCGCGUGGGGGAUGACGGCCUUCGGGUUGUAAACUCCUUUCGUUAGGGACGAAGCCACGCUUGUUGGGUGUGGUGACGGUACCUUUGUUAAGAAGCACCGGCUAACUACGUG